rnacentral:rRNA from 1 species
UACGGAGGGGGCUAGCGUUGUUCGGAAUUACUGGGCGUAAAGGGCGCGUAGGCGGCGCGGUAAGCGUGCGGUGAAAGCCCGGGGCUCAACCCCGGAAUUGCCUUUAAGACUGCAUCGCUUGAAUCCGGGAGAGGUGAGUGGAAUUCCGAGUGUAGAGGUGAAAUUCGUAGAUAUUCGGAAGAACACCAGUGGCGAAGGCGGCUCACUGGACCGGCAUUGACGCUGAGGUGCGAAAGCGUGGGGAGCAAACAGG